rnacentral:lncRNA from 1 species
CAGAGAUGACUGUUCCUGACGUGAAUGAAGUCACUUGCAAGUGAGAACUUGCACUGAGGAAGGGGGUAGACUCAGAGAAACAGCAGACAUUGUGACCACAGAGGACUUGAGGGCAUUCAAGGGGGUAAGUAAAGAGUUUCCCUUGGAAAUAGCAGUUGGCUGUCAAAAUCGCUUGACAUUCUGUUGGUAUAAGACCCCAAUCCUGAGUCUCUGCAACACCAGUUGCAGCUUGAAGAAAACACGUUUAAACGGAAGAGCUAGUCUGCGUGCAGUCAUUCCAGAUGCUCACAAGACAGGAUUGCAGACUCUAAGUAGCCAAGGGCAAAACUUGGAAUAAAAAAGAUUGUGUAAACAAGCUUCAUACAUCCUGUUUGACAGAUGAAAAAAAUUAACAUCUAUGUAACCCAAGGGAAUGCAUUGAAACACAAUUAAUCAAUGUUUGUAA